UCCGCCAAGUCGGCAGGGAACUAACUGAUUGUAAAUUGAUUCAAGCAAAUCCGCCAAGUCCACAAAUCAGUCGCAGCCUACCCGGUAGGCCUGUGUGUUUCCCGUGCGAUUUCCCGCAAAGACCAAAAAGUCGGGUGCUUUGGUACUUGACUUGUAUGGGCGUGAGUCGAUUUUUUUGUUUUCCCAUAUAAAUGAAUUUUUGCGGAAAAUAAAAAGUAGUACACGAGCACCUAGCAGCGGAGGCGAACCCUUGAAAUAGUCGGCGGGUAUAUAGAAGAGAGGGCUGGACACGCGUCGCGUUGCGU
rnacentral:misc_RNA from 1 species